AUUGAACGCUGGCGGCAGGCCUAACACAUGCAAGUCGAGCGCGCGGCGGACGGGUGAGUAAUGUCUGGGAAACUGCCUGAUGGAGGGGGAUAACUACUGGAAACGGUAGCUAAUACCGCAUACUAUCAGAUGUGCCUAUAUGUGUUUAGCUAGUAGGUGGGGUAAUGGCUCACCUAGGCGACGCCCCCUCGCUGGUCUGAGAGGAAGACGAGCCACACGGGAACUGAAACACGGUCCAGAUUCCUACGGAAGGCACCAGUGGGGAAUAUUGGACAAUGGGCGCAAGCCUGAUGAAGCCAUGCGGCGUGUAUGAAGAAGGCCUUGGGGUUGUAAAGUACUUUCAGCGGGGAGGCGUUACCCGCAGAAGAAGCACCGGCUAACUCCGUGCCAGCAGCCGCGGUAAUUC
rnacentral:rRNA from 1 species